rnacentral:rRNA from 1 species
AAAGGAAUUGACGGGGGCCCGCACAAGCGGCGGAGCAUGCGGAUUAAUUCGAUGCAACGCGAAGAACCUUACCAAGGCUUGACAUGUGCCAGAUCGGGCUAGAGAUAGUUCUUCCCUUUUGGGCUGGUUCACAGGUGGUGCAUGGUUGUCGUCAGCUCGUGUCGUGAGAUGUUGGGUUAAGUCCCGCAACGAGCGCAACCCUCGUUCUAUGUUGCCAGCACGUGAUGGUGGGGACUCAUGGGAGACUGCCGGGGUCAACUCGGAGGAAGGUGAGGACGACGUCAAAUCAUCAUGCCCCUUAUGUCUUGGGCUUCACGCAUGCUACAAUGGCCGGUACAAUGGGUUGCGAUACUGUGAGGUUGAGCUAAUCCCAAAAAGCCGGUCUCAGUUCGGAUUGGGGUCUGCAACUCGACCCCAUGAAGUCGGAGUCGCUAGUAAUCGCAGAUCAGCAACGCUGCGGUGAAUACGUUCCCGGGCCUUGUACACACCGCCCGU